CGUUGUCCUGCCCACAGAGGUCUGUGCAUCCCUCCAAGGGUAUGCCUCCCCAGACCAUCACUGAGCAACCACUAAUCCGGUCAUGCUGAAUGAUGUUGCAGGCAGCCUCAUGUUCUCCACGACAUCUCCAGACCCUUUCAUGUCUGUCACAUGUGCUCAGGUUGAACCUGCUCUCAUCUGUGAAAAGCACAGGGCGCUAGUGGCAUACCUGCCAAUUUUGUAUUCCAUGGCAAAUGUCCAAUGAGCCCCACGGUGCUGGGCAGUGAGCACAGGUCCCGCUAGAGGCCAUCGGGCCCUCAGGCCACCUUCAUAAAGUCUGUCUCUGGCCACAGUCAGAAACAUUCACACCAGUGACCUGCUGGAGGUCAUUCUGUAGGGCUCUAGCAGGGCUCCUACUGUUCCUCCUUGCAUAAAGGGGCAGAUACUGGUCCUGCUACUGGGUUAAGGACCUUCUACCACCCUGCCCUGCUCUUCUAGAGCAACUGCCUGUCUCCUGGAAUCUCUUCAUGCUCUUGAGACUACGCUGGGAGACACAGCAAUCUUUCUGCCAAUGGAACAUAUUGGUGUGCCAUUCUGGAGGAGUUGGACUACCUGUGCAACCUCUGUAGGCUCCAGAUACUGGCUUAUGCUACGAGUAGUAACACUGACACUAUCCAAAUGCAACACUAGUGAAAAAUCAGUCAAGAAGGAUAAAGAUGGAAAAAUUACCAGUUGCCACCACCUGUAAAGACCAUUCCUGUUUUGGGGGUCGUCUCAUAGUUGGCCCUCUAGUACACCUGUAGUAAAUUUCGUUGACAUCAAAGCAGGUGAACCUGAUUCACAACCACCUUUGUUGCAUAACUGGCCAGAUCAAUAUCCCACAAUUGUGUUGAGGAGUAUUUAUUUUUUUGAGCAGUGUAUAUUAAAAGAAAUGAAAUCGGAAUCGGCUAAAAUUGGUAUCGGCAGGUCAAAUGCUAUGAAAAAUCGGAAUAGGCCCAAAAAAUUGCAAUCGGUGAAUCUCUACUAUUCAAGGGAAU